rnacentral:rRNA from 1 species
AGAAUCAACGCUGGCGGCGUGCCUAACACAUGCAAGUCGCACGAGAAAGGGACUUCGGUCCUGAGUAAAGUGGCGCACGGGUGAGUAACACGUGAAUUAUCUACCUCCGAGUGGGGAAUAACUGAGAGAAAUCUUAGCUAAUACCGCAUAACACUUACGAGUCAAAGCAGCAAUGCGCUUGGAGAGGAGUUCGCGGCCGAUUAGUUAGUUGGCGGGGUAAUGGCCCACCAAGACGAUGAUCGGUAU